GCCCCCGGUCACGUUGGUACACACGUCCUCCCGGCUCCAUCUCCUCCUCCCCGUCUCCUGCUGGUUGAGGGUCUGAUAAUGGACGUAAGACAGCUGUUGGAGAGGAGAUUAAAAUAUGGAAGAUAGCAGCAGACGAGGUAGUUGAAGCUGGUAGAUCAAUUGAGCAAGAGCCCCAGAUCCAGCAAACAAUGCAGAGAAACAAGAGUAACAAUUACGUAGUAGUAGAUCAUACAAAGGACUGGUGAGGAUUCAUAAGUCAUGGUCCAAGAACGAAGCACGACAUGUCCGCAUAAUAGCAGAAGCAGACCAAGAGAAGAAAGUUGAUUAGCAGCUCAACAACGACGCCUGCUAAGAGAGGAUCAACAUGUGCAUCCUUUUGCCAUUUCGGAAGCCCCACAUCCUCGAGCUUGACACGCUCAUCUACCAUCCUGGCCGACGUCCUCGCC